CCCUCCCGCAGCGUGUCAGAAGGAAUCCCAACCCGGACUCACGGUGCUCGGCGAGGAAUGGCCGAGGGGCGUCGUUCCGCCUCUUCUUCCUCCUCCUGCUGCUGGUAAAAAAAGAGUAACAAAACUUCAAGUCGACACAUGACAUGAAAGUAAAAGGAUAAAAGAAGUCCUAACAUCAGGAAAUGAGAUAAUAUUAGAUCUACUUGUAGAACUCAAUCUACCAUCUGUCUGUCCACCUCUUCUCUUCUCAUAUCAGCAGAUUCAUCCACUAAGACAAUUAUCCUCACCCAAAGCUGCUCACGUGAAUAGAAAAGAGGAAAGCAGGAUAUGCCACCAGGCUUACAAAGUAAAGACAAGACACAGAAGCGAAGGGGAAGUCAGUUAUUCAAGGCCAUAACAAAGUGCUGAACAUGAUACCCAGCUCAGAUUUUUGCAAUUAUAAUGGGAAAAGAGAGAGAAACAACAUCAGUUGACAGCAUACUCUGAUUGUGAGUUUUGAGGAGAUUUUGAGCAUCACAUGAGAAGGCAAAAGAAGAGGUAA